rnacentral:lncRNA from 1 species
AUGGACCUCAGGUCAGCACACCAACGUCACACCCGCCAUGCCUUACCCAGACGCGGCAGAUACCACAAACCAGAUACCCAAUGUAUGAUCAACCACCCAGCAGGUACCUUUGAGGUUCUGGGCUUUACGUUUUUGAACACAUCUUCCAAGAAAUGCAAAACAGAGCCCUCCCCAAAUGCAGAUGCAAAUGACAGCCGGCCCUGCAGCAGCCCCCCACGGCCACGGCCCCUCCCCCGGCCAAGUGGCACAGCCUCGGAGAUGCAUCUGGAGGGGCAGCUACUGCCCUUUCCUGCAGAAAUGGAAAGAAAAAGGUGGCCUUAUUCUGCCAUCAGCAACUGUCAGAAACCUGGCGCGGGGCUCGUGGUCCUGACGAUUUACGCAUCGCCACCAUCAAGUGGGCAGCAUAAUUACAGUGAGGACAGGCGGCUGUCGCCCUCCUGGGAUGUUAAAGGGACAUGUAUGGAUGGAGUUUGGGGGAAUGUUGGAUCAGGAGAAAAGGAAGACGGGGUUCCGAGCCCUGCCAGAGCAGAGCAGAUCGGGGGCACCCUGGCCGCCCCACACCUCCCAUCUCCCCAGAAGCAGGUGCAGCGGCAGAAGCGCGACUCCCUCGGCUGGGCUCUGGCAAAGGUGCUGUUCCACGUUCAAAGCUGCGCAGUGCUAUUUUGGGAAGGUCUGAGCUCUGGUUGCCGCGAGCAGAGUGCAGCUGGCUGCGUGCUUCCUCGUGGGCAGGUGGAGAGGCCGCAGGAGCCCGUCCUGACGCACAGCGGCCUGUCGCGGCGGGGUCUGGCUCUGCAGCACUUCCAGGGCUGUGUCACUGGGCUUGCAGCUUUUCAGGGGUGUCCCCUCCAGGUCCCCACUUCCCGCCCUCGGAGCCAACGGCAAGAGGGGAGAGAGGCAUUCCCAUCACAGCUUGGACGCCGCGCUGGUGCCAAGACCCCUGCGGCUCGUGCUCCUCUUCCUCACGGCUGCCCACGGCCAAAGCCCUGUCCCCGUAGGCUGACCAAUGGGAAGGUGGACACAAGUGCCCACGUGAUCUCAGCCCUUUCUUCCUGA